GAUGAACGCUAGCGGCAGGCUUAACACAUGCAAGUCGAGGGGCAGCACUUGUAGCAAUACAUGGUGGCGACCGGCGCAAGGGUGCGUAACGCGUGAGCAACAUGCCCGUAUCAGGGGGAUAAUCCAGGGAAACUUGGUCUAAUACCCCAUAGCAAUUAUUUGAGGCAUCUUAAAUAAUUUAAAGCUUUGGUGGAUACGGAUUGGCUCGCGUGACAUUAGCUAGAUGGUAAGGUAACGGGCUUACCCAUGGCUACGAUGUCUAGGGGUUCUGAGAGGAAGAUCCCCACACUGGAACUGAGACACGGUCCAGACU
rnacentral:rRNA from 1 species